UACGUAGGGCGCAAGCGUUGUCCGGAAUUAUUGGGCGUAAAGAGCUCGUAAGCGGUUUGUCGCGUCUGCUGUGAAAACGCAAGGCUUAACCUUGCGCCUGCAGUGGGUACGGGCAGACUAGAGUGCGGUAGGGGAGACUGGAAUUCCUGGUGUAGCGGUGGAAUGCGCAGAUAUCAGGAGGAACACCGAUGGCGAAGGCAGGUCUCUGGGCCGUUACUGACGCUGAGGAGCGAAAGCAUGGGGAGCGAACAGG
rnacentral:rRNA from 1 species